GACGAACGCUGGCGGCGUGCCUAAUACAUGCAAGUCGAACGCAGUGGGGACGGGUGAGUAACACGUGGUCAACCCCCCAUCAGAGGGUAUAACACUUGGAAACAGGGGCUAAACCGAUACUGAUGGAUGGACCCGCGGUGCAUUAGCUAGUUGGUGAGGUAACGGCGAACAAGGGCCACGAUGCAUAGCCGACCUGGGAGGGUGUGCGGCCACACUGGGACUGAGACACGGCCCAGACUCCUACGGGAGGCAGCAGUAGGGAGUCUUCGGAAAUGGACGAAAGUCUGACCGAGCAACGCCGCGUGAGUGAAGAAGGUUUUCGGAGCGUAAAACUCUGUUGUUAGGGAAGCGGUAUCUAACCAGAAAGCCACGGCUAACUACGUGCCAGCAGCCGCGGUAAUAC
rnacentral:rRNA from 1 species